CUAACCUCUCCUCUCUCCACAGAACGAGGAAGCCCAGAAUGGAGAGAAGGAAAAGGAAGCAGAAGGAAAGGAGGGAAAGAAAGAAGGAGGAGCAACGGGAGGAGGAGGAGAGGUGGCUGCAGAAGGAGGAGGAGGAGGGAGGAAAGUGGAGGAGGUGAGAGAGAAUGGAGACAACAGUGUUCUGAGCGGAGACAUUACGAUUGACUCCAUAAGGGACCAUAUAGAGGAGUUGAAGGUGUCGGAGAAGGGCGGUGUGGUGGAGGUUAUGUGUGCGGAGGAGUCUAACAACACCACCACCACCUCCAUUUCUUCCACCUCCACCACCACCACCAUUAGUAAAUCCACCACCAUUACUGCCUCCUCUUCCACGUCGCAAGAGUCGCAAUCCAUACAAGUAGUUGAGACAGCCCUGACCUCUUCCUCCUCCUCCUCCUCCUGCCCCCCUCCCUCCUCCUCCUCCACCACCAUCGCCACUGCCACCUCCGCCACGACAGCCGCCAUCGCUUCCACCGACGCCAACCACAGCGUGAUAAAUGGGACUGAGGUUGGUGCGAGCGAGAGAGGGGGAGAGAGAGAGAGAGAGAUAUGUGAGUGUGUGUGUAUGUGUGUGUGUUAGUGUGUUUGCGACAGCCUGGUUUGGUGGUGUUCUCUCUCUCUCUCUAUCUUUUUUGUUUCCCAAUCUUCCUUUUCAGAAUUAAUAGAAUGAGAGAGAGAGAGAGAGAGAGAGAGAGAGAGAGAGAGAGAGAGAGAGAGUUGCCUGUGUUGUUUAUAAAGAGAAUGAUUUAGCAUGUUUUCUCUCUCUUCUUCUUCUUCUUCUCCUUCUUCUUUUAUUUAUAUUUUAUUGGAUGUUUUUUUUAUUCUUUUUUUCAUUGUACAUAUUUUUUUUUUAUAAGCAAAUUUAUUUUUUUAUUAGCAAAUCUUUUUUUUCUGCUGUGUGUAAAUUUAUGUGAAUGAGGAUAGGUGCGCUCUCUCUCUCUCUCUCUCUCUCUCUCUCAUCAGCUUAUUUGCUAUGGCUAUGCUUAUUAUUAUUAUUAUUAUUAUUAUUAUUAUUAUUAUUAUUAUUAUGGAAACGGUGGUGGUGGUUGGCCUCUGCAUGUACGCUUGUGUGUGCGCGCUUGUGUGUGUGUGUGUGUGUGUGUGCGUGUGUGUAUGUAACUAACACCUUUUUUAAAUAACUGAAGUGUAUAAAUUUUGAUGUACUAACCCUUGUUUUCUCUCUCUCUCUCUCUCUCUCUCUCUCUCUCUCUCUCUCUCUCUCUCUCUCUCUCUCUCUCUCUCUCUCUCUCUCUCUUAUUUUCCUUCUUUUUUGCUUGUUUUCCUCUUCCUCUUCCUCUUCUUUCCUACCUCUUCCUCCUCAUACUACUACUACUACUACUACUACUACUACUACUACUACUACUGCUGCUGCUACUACUGCCACUGCUGCUGCUGCUACUACUACUGCUACCUGCUACAGUAACAGUCAACUAAGAGGAGGGCACCGCUAGCAAAGGCCGAGUCAUUCUUCAGCAAGGAACCGCGUGUGACCAGCUCGGAGUGACCUCACCACCGUCACCACCAGGAACAACAACAACAACAACAACAACAACAACAACAGUGAUUUAAGUGCCACAGGAUGACACUAUAACACUACUACCACUACUACUACUACUACUACUACUACUACUACUUUGGCAACAAAAAUAUUACAGCUAACACAAUAUUGAGAGAAGAAAAAUAAAAUAAACCUUAAACUAUUUUCCUCCUCCUCCUCCUCCUCCUCCUCCUCCUCCUCCUCCUCCACACUGCCACCUUCCACAGUUUAUCCAUACAUUCCACAUAUGUACUUCAAUGCUAGAAAGAAGGAAGAAGAAAUUAGAAAGGAAGGAAGGAAGGAAGGAAGGGAGAAACAGAAGGAAGGAAAGACAUUAACAGAUUUCUCCGCAUUACACUCCUUCCUUCCUUCCUUCCUUCACCCCUGCAUAGUGUCUUAUAGGAAGGGGUGAUGAUGAUGAUGAUGAUGAUGAUGAUGUAUUUGUAUAUCGGAAAGUUGUUAUAUAUUACAAACAUUUGAUAGUUUAUACUGCUGCUACUACUACUACUACUACUACUACUACUACUACUACUACUACUACUACUACUACUACUACUACUACUUCUACUACUACUACUACAGCCUUAGAAGAAUUCCCAUUACUACGAUUAUUGUUACUAUUAUUAUUAUUAUUAUUAUUAUUAUUAUUAUUAUUAUUAUUAUUAUUAUUAUUAUUAUUAUUACUGUCGCUACUUUUACUACUACUACUACUACUACUACUACAACUACUACUGUGUGUGUGUGCGUGCGUAUGUUCUACUUUCUACGUUUUUCAUUGACCAGAUAACAAGAAGCGGACAGCUGUUUUAAUUCUGCUUGGUAAUUGGUGUUAGUUUGUCCGUAUGUUUGUUUUCCUUACCGUUUGUUUGUUUGUUUGUUUAUGCGAUAUACACUCCAGCUUCCAUGAUUGUUGUUAUUUCCAUUAUUUUCGCUUCUUUUCCUGUUUUAAUAUGGUUCGUUUUUUUUCUGUGCGUGUGUGUGUGUGCGCGCGUGUGUGUGUCUGUUUGUUUUUACGGUAAUUUCCCUCCAUUAAUGUCUUUAGGUUCUCUCGACGCGAUUGAUUUUAUCGGCUUUUUUUUUUUUUUUCCAUUUUAUUAUUAUUUUUAUUCUUUAUUUUAUGGUCCGGGGCCUCCAAGAGUGUGUAUUUGUGGACGUUCUAUUCGCUUCCUUAUUCUCAAACACAGCUUCACUUCGCUCUAUGGCAGCUGCAAAAAAUGUACACAAAACACACUAAUCUGAUAUACAUGAAAAACUAGGAAGGAACAAAGGAAGGAAGAAAAAAAAUAUCAGUAACAAACAUAUAAACAAACAAAAUCACACAAAAACUGAACUAUGAAGAAAAGAAAACAAAAAAAAAAUCAUCACACAUAACUUGGCUGUUCAAACUCACUAGGCAAAUAGGCUCCUCCCCCUUCCCCAAUAACUGUGUGUGAUUGGCCAGUCCACCAGCAGGCCACACCCCCUCCCAGUAAGGGCUUCCUGUGAUUGGUGGAUGCUCAAAAAGGUUGAAUCCUAUUGGUGUUUAGUGGGUCUCUGUGGAUGGGACUUAUUUACCAAGCCAAUCUGUACCUCCUCCUCCUCUUCCUCCUCCUCUUCCUGCUCUCUUCUUCUCCUGUUCUUCAUUUCCUCUUUUUUUUCCUUUCCCUUUUCCUCCCUUCCAUCCUUCUCCCAUUCUUUUUUUCCCUUCGUUCUUUCUCUUUUCUCAUACCUUCUUCUGGUUCUUCAUUUCCUCUUUUUUAGCUUCCGUGUUUUAUCCUUUUUAUCUCUCAUUCCUUUUUACUCCUCCUCCUCCUCUCUUCUCCUGUUUUUCCUUUCCCUUUUCCUCCCUUCCAUCCUUCUUCCUUCUCUUUUUUCCCUUCAUUCUUUCUCUUUUCUCAUUCCUUCUGCUAGUUCUUCAUUUCCUCUUGUCUUCCUUGUUUUAUCCAUUUUCUUCUCAUUUCCUUUUAUUCCUACGUCAUUUCCGUGUGUCCUUCCUUUCCCCAUUUCUCAUGUCCCUUCCUUCCUCCCUUCCGUUCUCCCUUAUUCCUUCCCAGGGUGAGGGUUAGAGGCAGCUACCCAUCCCCCUCCCUCCCCUAAGAAGACAUCCAUAAAUUGUAAUCUAGUAAAAAAACAUCAGUAACCCCUUGGAGGCCCUGAACUGUACGCUGUCUGCCUGAUUCUUCAAACGCUGUGUGAGUCGUCAACACUUCUGCGGCCGUUUGUCUUUCUUGGCCUGUUUUUCAAGGAGUGGUUAGCCGGAUUUGUUGAUUCUUCUGCCUCACUUUUUCUGGCGAGUUUGUAACGUGUCCGCUGAGUGUGGAAAUCCAACCCUUCCUGCUCCGCCCCCAAAGAUGGAAGUUAAAGGCCAAACAGCCGCACACCACGUUUGAAGACUCAGGCGUUUAUUCUCUAGGCCACUCCCGGAUCUCAGCUGAUGGACAUUACCACGUAUAAUGUAAUGGAGAUGUUUUUAUAAUAGUGUAGAAGUGACCCAUUUGCCCCUUACUUAUAUACCACCCCGUGCCCCAUACGGCCCUCCCCAACUGCCCAUUCCAUUUCUACCGGACCAAUAAAAUGAAAUAAUGAGAGAA